CCUACGGGAGGCAGCAGUGAGGAAUAUUGGUCAAUGGACGAGAGUCUGAACCAGCCAAGUAGCGUGAAGGAUGACUGCCCUAUGUGUUGUAAACUUCUUUUAUAUGGGAAUAAAAUGUUGCACGUGUGGGAUUUUGUAUGUACCAUAUGAAUAAGGAUCGGCUAACUCCGUGCCAGCAGCCGCGGUAAUACGGAGGAUCCGAGCGUUAUCCGGAUUUAUUGGGUUUAAAGGGAGCGUAGGUGGAUUGUUAAGUCAGUUGUGAAAGUUUGCGGCUCAACCGUAAAAUUGCAGUUGAAACUGGCAGUCUUGAGUACAGUAGAGGUAGGCGGAAUUCGUGGUGUAGCGGUGAAAUGCUUAGAUAUCACGAAGAACUCCGAUUGCGAAGGCAGUUCACUAGACUGCCACUGACAUUGAUGCUCGAAAGUGUGGGUAUCAAACAGGAUUAGAUACCCGUGUAGUC
rnacentral:rRNA from 1 species